AUGGCCGAUCGACGUGGGUCAAAGUGUAGUAUGUUUCCUUAUAUUCAGCUUAAUAUCUGAUACGGGUUGUAUUUGGAUCCACGCUAUUAAACUUCUCUGCAAGUUGGCAGAAUGCUUGAAGCCUAGCUGCUUCACCUCCGCCGCGGGUCGGCCCAGUAUUUCGCUAUCUUCGGGAUCGGUCCACGGUUU